rnacentral:rRNA from 1 species
AUGAGAGGGAGAAAAGGGAAGAGAGGAGGGAGAGAGAGAGAGGAAAGAGGAGAGGGAGGCACCACGUCGGACGGGAGAGGGUCGCAGCCCGCGUCGGCCUGCUUCGGCGAGGUCAGGCGUGCACUGGCGGUUCGUGGCGGCUCAAUCCACUCCUGGAUCGAAACCUACGAGGACGCUGGUGCUCUGGCGUGA